UUGUGUCUGUAUGCCUUUGUAUUGGAGGAAUAUCCCAUGAGCCAACUUGUCAUGCACCCCUAACUCUGAGCCCCGCACCUGCAGCUGGAGGCAGCCUCCUGCUUAGCUUGCUGUGCAGUGACAGGCUGGCGAUACUGUCACCAAGCCGUACUCAGAAACAGACAGAGAAAACCUUUUUAGAACCGGGGCAAGCCAUGAGGAGCAGAGAGGAUUUAUGUGCCAACCAUGGCUUGCAAACUCCCAACAUGAGCACCUGCUGUUGACACUCGGAGAUCCAUCCUGAAAACAAAUUCAAAGUGACGAGGAGUUCAUCAGAAUAGGAGCACGAUUUUGUUAAUAUUUCUUAAAAUGGUAACUCUGACCAACUACAUCUACUUUUAACCAGGGUUUAAAAAAAUAUUUUUACAUACACAAGGGCCAUUUUUACAGUGCCAUAGUAAAACAAAAGAAAGCCCAGCCUCUUCCUUAAACCAACAACACUAAAUUCAGUCAGAGCCUCAAGCAGCCUCCACUCUCUAAGAGGUCCAUACGACACAGCUACAAAUGCAGACUAGGACUAUGGAUCUCCAACCCACUCUUUAAAGUUGUUAUUUCAAUGCUUCAACUUUAAAUAGCCAAGAUGAAAUGGGCAUUCCGUUGAAAAGGAAGAGUUGACCGGUGGUAGAAUGAAGGUGGAGACCGCAUCGGAAUACUCAUGUUGAUCUAACGGCUUAUUUAUUUAUUUGGGAGUUAGUUACCCAUUCUGUUCUUUCAGAGUGGGACUGCAUCAUGAUAAUUUUCAAGCUUGAAAUGAUUGACUUAGAAAAGAAGAGAGAUACCAGGUUGCCUAGAGAGUGAUAUGUGUACUUGGACAUACAACCCUAGAGCAUGUGUGUGCAGAUACAGGUGUGUCUAAGCAGCAGCGCUGCUACCUCUCUUUUGUGAUGUCACUGCUUACUGUUGGGCUUGAUACUACAGACUAGGUGUGAACGCAAAAAUUUUCAGCCUCCUUUUUUAUCAGGAUUUUUUACUGUUUUUCAAACUCAAAACACAAAACAAAAACAACAACAACAACAAACCCUUAAGAAAUGUAGCAUCUAAACCAUGGAAGUUUUCCAGUGGAAAUAUUCUUUGUCCAUUUUUUCAGCAUGCUUUCUUACCAUACAAAUUAUGCCUCACGACAACUAAGAUGCAACAGACAAGGGGUCUAUCAUGCUUCGGUUGCAUAUUUUCCCAUAAACCUAGUGGUAUUUAUGAGCCCUGGGAGUCUCGCUGGCUGAGCUGUACACCUGUUGAAAUAAGAAUGCAGGCUCCCAAGAAGAUUCUCUUGAUUUGAAAAAUAACAGUUCAUGCUAUCAUCCACAGUGAAGAAAAUUAUACUGUGACAUUUUAGACUGGAUGAUAUCGGGAAUCCAUGAAGGUAACAGCACUUGGGUGUUUACAAGGACAAUAUUUCUUCCCAAAUGCAAACAGAGAUUUGCUUUGAACCACAAAAAGCCAUUAACCAUGUUGGUCCAAAAUUUUCUCUGAACCUUUUUUUUUUAACUUAUUUUAUUUUUAAUAAAGUGGGGCAGGAUGGGGAAGGGGACAUAUGCAGAAGAUGCAGGUGCCCACAGAAGUUAAAAGAAGGUGUCUGAUACCCUGGAGCUAGGGUUACAGCUGGUUUUGAAGCACCUCACACCAGUGCUGGGAAUGACUUCCACAGUAGCCCUCAUUCCUCCUUUUAAGGGGAGCAGGGGCUGUCUCUGGCAUGAACUCAGUGGCAGCUCUCCGGUCACCUUCCCCUGAAGGAUGCAGCCUUGAGAAGCCACAGAGGAAGACAAUGCAGCCAGUCCUGAUGAGACCUGAUAGGCUAGGAUCAGAUGGAAGGGGAGGAGGAACCUCCCCUAUCAUUGGAUUGGG